rnacentral:rRNA from 1 species
CUACGGGGUGCUGCAGUAGGGAAUAUUGCGCAAUGGGCGAAAGCCUGACGCAGCAAUGCCACGUGAGUGAGGAAGGCCUUAGGGUUGUAAAGCUCUGUCCUAGAGGAAGAAGGUUUAAAUGAAAAUAUUGUUUAAGCUUGACGGUACUCUAGAAGAAAGCACCGGCUAACUUCGUGCCAGCAGCCGCGGUAAUACGAAGGGUGCAAGCGUUGUUCGGAUUUAUUGGGCGUAAAGCGCGCGCAGGCGGAAUCAUAAGUCAGGUGUGAAAUCUCGGGGCCUAACCCCGAAACUGCGCCUGAAACUGUAAUUCUAGAAUAUCAAAGGGGGAAGAGGAAUUUCACAUGUAGGGGUAAAAUCCGUAGAGAUGUGAAGGAACACCAGAAGCGAAGGCGUCUUCCUGGUUGAUUAUUGACGCUGAGGCGCGAAAGCGUGGGGAGCAAACAGGAUUAGAUACCCGGGUAGUC